UACGUAGGGGGCUAGCGUUGUCCGGAAUCAUUGGGCGUAAAGCGCGUGUAGGCGGCCCGAUAAGUCCGCUGUGAAAGUCCAGGGCUCAACCCUGGGAUGCCGGUGGAUACUGUCGGGCUCGAGUCCGGAAGAGGCGAGUGGAAUUCCUGGUGUAGCGGUGAAAUGUGCAGAUAUCAGGAGGAACACCAAUGGCGAAGGCAGCUCGCUGGGACGUGACUGACGCUGAGACGCGAAAGCGUGGGGAGCAAACAGG
rnacentral:rRNA from 1 species